UCCUUGGUGGGUAGUCCCGGGCCUCGCUGGGGCUGGGGCCAAUGUCGGAGAAUCCAGAUUCCUUUUUCCUUUUGUUUGUCAUCUGGUGGGGGAGGCAGGUGCACAGCCCUGCUUGGGAACACCUAAUGAGCUGUGGGUGGUCCCCAGCGUGCCCACCAUUCCUUGGCCACCAAGUGGAUUGGACUGACCGUCCUGGAUCGUGUUUCAGCCCUCUCCGCAGAAGGGGCCAAGUUGAGGCUUUGAGCAGAGAGGCCUGAACCAAGAGCAUCACUCUUCCCUGCGCCUCCCUCUCUCCCGCGGUGGCUCCCUAGAGCUGCGGCUGCAGAAAGACACCAGGGCUGACAUUGACCGAGGGCCCUGGGCUCACAGGCCUGUGGGCUUAAAGAUGGUAAAGUCACAGAAAUCAGAUCAUCAGCCGGCCUCCCCAUCUGGCCCCAGAAGCUGCCCUCACAUUCCAGCGCCCAAAGGACCAACUGCCCAGGUUGGAGGCUGCUCUAGAGGCCUAACCCUGGUGAGGUAUGCACGCGGGCAGUUGCCCACAGAGAGGUGGGCCUUUUGUUACUGCCUCACCCCGACAGUCGUCAUCCUGUCUGCUCAGAGCUGGAGCUGACUUCUCUCUGGGAUCAGUGCCUGGCUGGUGGCUCGGCCUUGGACUGACCAAAUGCUCAAGAGACUGACCCCCCCGAAGGAAAAUAAAGCAGGACUCGGAUCCCUGCCCUGAAUACAUGAGCCAAACAAGGGAUUUCAGUCGCCUGCACUGGGUUCGUGUGGCAGGAGUGCUCUGUUGAGAGGAAAGAAGGCGGGGCUGGAGGAACGGUGCCUCCCGCGUGUUCUCUGUGCCUGUGGGUGUACGUCGCUCCUCCGCACACGCGCCCGUGUGUGCCCAUCUGCUGCACACAGCAUGUCUUGCACUGGCAGAUGCAUCUGUAAUAUACUUUCUAUGUUUAUUUAAGGCUCUGAGCAGAAUGCGGCCCGUUGUCACUGGGUCCAUGUUUCUCCCUGCUCCUUUGCACUAAGUCAUUGUAACCCAGGGCUUAAACGAUGAUUUGGUACUGUUCUUCAGAACACUUUUAUGGAGUUCAUGGGAGGCCAUUCACAGAGCAGCAUGUUUUCCUUCAGCAUCUGUGUGCUGAGACCUGGAGGGUAGGGGUUUCAAGGGCACCUCACCACCACCUUGCAGGCUCACAGUGGGCUUAGCCUCACUGGGGCCCAGCUUCAUUGGGGUGGGCCCAGCUUCACUGGGGGUGGGCCCAGCUUCACUGGGGGUGGACCCAGCUUCAUUGGGGGUGGACCCAGCUUCACUGGGGUCGACCCAACUUCUUCGGGGUGGGCCCAUAUUCACCCCAUUGCUGAGGGUUUUGGUUGGCAUCAUUGUUUCUGAAUGUAGCACAAGGGAUGGAUAAACUCCAUAAGAGUGUUUUAAAAAUUAACUUCCCAGGAAGUGAGUUAAAAUCAAUAAAAGCCCUUUCUUGAGUUUAAAAA
ensembl:lncRNA